UGGCAUAAAGGUUAAGUGUUUGGCUGCUAACCAAAUGGUCAGCAGUUUGAAUCCGCU
rnacentral:tRNA from 1 species